GGGACUAUAGCUCAGACGGUUAGAGCGCACGCCUGAUAAGCGUGAGGUCGGUGGUUCGAUUCCACCUACCCCCACCA
rnacentral:tRNA from 1 species